rnacentral:rRNA from 1 species
AGCGAACGCUGGCGGCAGGCCUAACACAUGCAAGUCGAACGAAGUCUUCGGACUUAGUGGCGGACGGGUGAGUAACACGUGGGAACGUGCCUUUAGGUUCGGAAUAACUCAGGGAAACUUGUGCUAAUACCGAAUGUGCCCUUCGGGGGAAAGAUUUAUCGCCUUUAGAGCGGCCCGCGUCUGAUUAGCUAGUUGGUGAGGUAAAGGCUCACCGAGGCUACGAUCAGUAGCUGGUCUGAGAGGAUGACCAGCCACAUUGGGGCUGAGACACGGCCCAAACUCCUACGGGAGGCAGCAGUGGGGAAUCUUGCGCAAUGGGCGAAAGCCUGACGCAGCCAUGCCGCGUGGAUGAUGAAGGUCUUAGGAUUGUAAAAUCCUUUCACCGGUGAAGAUAAUGACUGUAGCCGGAGAAGAAGCCCCGGCUAACUUCGUGCCAGCCGCCGCCGUAAAAC